rnacentral:rRNA from 1 species
UACGUAGGGUGCGAGCGUUAAUCGGAAUUACUGGGCGUAAAGCGUGCGCAGGCGGUUCGUUGUGUCGGCGGUGAAAGCCCCGGGCUAACCUGGGAAUGGCCGUUGAAACUGGCGAACUGGAGUGUGGCAGAGGGGGGUGGAAUUCCGCGUGUAGCAGUGAAAUGCGUAGAGAUGCGGAGGAACACCGAUGGCGAAGGCAGCCCCCUGGGCUAACACUGACGCUCAGGCACGAAAGCGUGGGGAGCAAACAGG